AUCUUUCUCAAGUCCUGCUUGAAGAACUCGCAUGACAAAACGUAGCAAAGACCCGCAAGUCAGUGCUAGUGGUGCAUUCCACAGAAUCGGUGCGCGACGUCCUAUGACGUCAGAGCUGAGAUCUUCUCGACGAUGUUUGAGACGGCCGUCGUCGUGCCGAAGUACGACUCGAGGUACUUUGGCAGGAAGGCGAAGUAGCCAAUGAUGCUGUAGAAGUGGAAGCAGACGCCCAGCACGACGCAGACGUACCGACCAUAGUAUCUCCUCUGCGAGUGGUUCAGGGUCCGACUGGCGUAUGCUACUACCUUCUCUUCGCCAUUCUGAAUUUGCGACAACACAGCUCCUAAGCAUGUAUUGCUUGCAUCCGUAUCCAGUAAGUUGACGGUCGCCUGGACACCCUCGUGUGAGGACCUAGCACGGACGCCGACACUGGCUUCUCUCGUGUUGAUUAUAACAUGCGCAUACAGCGCACUAGUCAGAGAGUUUUAUUAAUCGGCAUG
rnacentral:misc_RNA from 1 species